rnacentral:piRNA from 1 species
UGAAUGGCUAAUGUGUAUGUGAA